UUCCUGGCAGAUUAAAACUGUGUGCUGGACCGAGACUCGAACUCGGGACCUUUGCCUUCUGAAGUUCGAGUCUCAGUCCAGCACACAGUUUUAAUCUGCCAGGAAGUUUCAUUUCAUAUAUUGUUCCAACUAUCAGGAUUGUGGAAGAUCAGUGUACUUGACAUAAUCAUCACACACAAUUACAACAGUC